CGAGGCUCCUUUGCAGAUGCAGCCCUGGGCACACUUGGCACAGCCCACGGGGCAGCAGGAGCAGCAGCCUGGGGAAGGGAAGGAGGCAGCAGAGAUGAGCGCUUGGGGCUAGGGAUUAAUAAGGCUUCCCAUCCUCCCCAGGGGAAGUGCUGCCUUUGCGGAGGAAGAAACAUCUACUGCCCUAUUUAAAUUCCCCUCGGAGACGCAGAGGGCUAGCAACACGGUGGGAGGGGGAGCGCAUUAGGGGUAGGCGUAGAGAGAAUUGCACUUACUUUUCUUGCAAGAGGUGCAUUUGCAGUCUUUGCAUUUGCAGGAGCCGGCACACGUGCAGGACCCACCUGCGAAGAGAAAGGCAGAUGUAAGAACGGGCCCUGGAGACUUGAUCGCGGGCAUGCGAGACCGGGUUCCACAACCAAUUCGUGGUAUCGUAGCCCCACUCCUUGCAUUAGGACUUAUUACAAGAUGAAAGUAAAAGAAAAAAACAAACCUGUUUUUCACCGCUCUGGGAACUGUGUGCUUGCUCACUCAGGAAGAUCAUCAACACUGUGGAGGCGGUGAACCAGCCUGGGUACCUGCUUGAGAUGCCCGCACCCUUGGAGAUGAAUAAUGUGUUUGACACAGGCUUGGGGACAGGUAGCCCUACCUCUACAAGCUCUCCUUCCAAAUCACCCUCGCCCUGGGCACCUCCGUCACCACUAUCACGCACAGGCUUGUUCAGGACACCCGUGCCUGUAAAUAAAGUUUUAAUUUCCCUUUUAA